rnacentral:rRNA from 1 species
AACGCGAAGAACCUUACCAAGUCUUGACAUCCCAUCGAAGAGAGGGUAGAGCCUCUUGCCCUUCGGGGCGAUGGAGACAGGUGGUGCAUGGUUGUCGUCAGCUCGUGUCGUGAGAUGUUGGGUUAAGUCCCGCAACGAGCGCAACCCCUAUCUUUAGUAGCCAGCGAGCAGAGUCGGGCACUCUAGAGAGACUGCCGGGGAUAACCCGGAGGAAGGUGGGGAUGACGUCAAAUCAUCAUGCCCCUUAUGAUUUGGGCUACACACGUGCUACAAUGGCGUAAACAAAGGGAAGCGAACCUGCGAGGGGGAGCAAAUCCCAGAAAUAACGCCCCAGUUCGGAUUGUAGCCUGCAACCCGGCUACAUGAAGCUGGAAUCGCUAGUAAUCGCGGAUCAGAAUGCCGCGGUGAAUACGUUCCCGGGUCUUGUACACACCGA